CAGUUGGUAGAGCAACGGAUUGAAAAUCCGUGUGUCCCCAGUUCGAUCCUGGGUCUCGCCACCA
rnacentral:tRNA from 1 species